UACGUAGGGGGCAAGCGUUGUUCGGAAUUACUGGGCGUAAAGGGCGCGUAGGCGGCAUGGCAAGUCAGGAGUGAAAGGCCUGGGCUCAACCGAGGAACUGCUUUUGAUACUGCCAAGCUAGAGUGCGGAAGGGGCAACUGGAAUUCCCAGUGUAGCGGUGAAAUGCGUAGAUAUUGGGAAGAACACCUGAGGCGAAGGCGGGUUGCUGGGCCGACACUGACGCUGAGGCGCGAAAGCCAGGGGAGCAAACAGG
rnacentral:rRNA from 1 species